UGCGGGAUCUCAUCCAUCUCAUCUAUCUCUGCUUCUUGAAUUCAUCUCUUGCCAUGAAAAUGCAGAAUCUGACUCUGCUUUUAGUGCUAUUCCUCUCAACCUCCCACUCUGCUUUCUCCAUCACUGACGGUUUAUUGCCGAAUGGGAACUUCGAACUGGGCCCGAAACGGGGCCAACUAAAGGGCUCAGUAGUUACGGCCCAAAAUGCAAUUCCUAAUUGGAGCGUAACGGGCUACGUAGAAUACAUACAAUCAGGGCAGAAACAAGGUGACAUGCUUCUUGUUGUGCCCGAAGGUGCUUACGCUAUUAGGCUCGGCAACGAAGCUUCCAUCAAGCAGAACGUGAAGCUCGUGAAGGGGUUGCACUAUGCCAUAACAUUCAGUGCUGCACGCACGUGCGCACAGGAGGAGAAGCUCAACGUGUCUGUGGUUCCAUCCAAUGAGAAGAGAGAUUGGGGUCAGAUCCCCAUUCAGACCAUGUAUGGUAGCAAUGGUUGGGAGUCCUUUUCUUGUGGCUUCGUUGCUGAUUUUCAAGAUGCUCAGAUUGUCAUCCAUAACCCUGGUGUUGAAGAAGACCCUGCUUGUGGCCCACUCAUUGAUUCCGUUGCCUUGAAGGUCUUGAACCCACCCAGAAGAACUAGAGCGAAUUUGCUGAAGAAUGGAAACUUCGAAGAAGGGCCAUAUGUGUUUCCAAACGCAUCUUGGGGGGUUCUGAUCCCACCACACAUUGAAGAUGCUCACAGUCCUCUAAUAGGGUGGAUAGUGGAGUCUCUGAAAGCAGUGAAGUACAUUGAUUCAGAACACUUCUCUGUCCCUGAGGGCAAAAGAGCCAUUGAACUUCAUGUGAAGGGUCCAUGAUGGUUGAAGCAUUCGCUGGCAAAGACACAGUCCAAGUCCCUUACCAAUCGAAGGGCAAAGGAGGGUUUAUCAGAGGUAAGUUGAGGUUCAAGGCUGUGUCAACACGGACCCGUGUUAGGUUCCUAAGCACGUAUUACACCAUGAAGAAUGAUAACUCUGGUUCGCUUUGUGGACCCGUCAUUGACGACGUCAAAUUGCUUAGCGUCCGUUACCCUAGACAUGCUUAAUUAGUUAUAUCCAGGAUAGUUAUGUAGUGUUUAUCUUAUUAUAAGAUUGCACAGUUAGUGCAAUCAAACCACAUACAUUCCAUGAUGAUCCGAUCCAUUUGGUUUCAAUGAGCAUCGUUGAUGCAUCUCUUGUAACAAUUAUUAUUAUUAUUACUGUACCAUAUAAUUUUCAUCAUCAUGUACUAUCCACCCUGUUUUUCCAUAAAAGUUGGCGAGUUUCUUUCAAUAUUAAAAUUCAUGUAUGUGGAA